rnacentral:lncRNA from 1 species
AUGAACUCACAUGAUACUGGACUAUUUAAUUCUUAGACCGUAAACCCGUGAAGCACAAGAAAGCCAUAUUCUAUCUAGAAAUCAAAGAAAUAUUCAAGUAUGAUAGCAAAACACCUGAGUUUUUCCUCCUUAUUUACUUUCAAAUACCACCAACUCAGUGUUUUCAUUCUACAAGCAAGAGGGCUUCUCAGUCUUACAAACAACAACAACAACAACAACAACAAGGUACUCCAGCACAUGAAAUCAAUUUAAAGUACAACAUGAAGAAUGAAAUCCAGCCUAAAAUAGGUGGCUGUUAGUUAAAACUUAUUUCUACACCCAAAGAUCUGCUUGCAACCACGUCUAUAUGAAAGCCCAGACCGGGCACUGCCUAAUGGCAUUCUGCUUCUUGUCACGUGGUAAGAUAUGUACUUCUUGUUAUCCUGGAGAAUCCUUCUACUUGUUUCAGAAUCCAGAGCCCACUCCUCUUCUUCUACUGGAUGCCCCUGCAUGCUGAACGAGACAUUGUAAGCGUUGGCAGCUGCCAUCGAAGCUCCAGUAGGGACAGCAGCAGCAACAGCGAAGAAGAGGACCAACGCCACAACCCAGAAGUAAUUCCUCAGCCCAAAACCCAUUGCUUGCUCCCUUCUUCCAAUCCCCCUUCUCGUCCAGCUUCGGCACUCCUUUUCCUCCUCUUAUGGCACGGAUGGAGAAUAUAAAAGCGACAGAACCCUAGACACAUGACGAACAGCAAUAAUGCCAUGGUGCGUUUCUUUUGGCCUUGUUUCUCUCACCUAACAAUACGGUGAGAAAGGCCGCUCCAAGCUAGUUAACAAAAAUUUUUGACCCCAAUCCAGUUGGUUUUGUGAAAAUAACCGAGCA